rnacentral:lncRNA from 1 species
CCGGGGUUCAAGCAGUUAGGAAAGGAGCAUCUCCAAAAGAGGUUCACACCUGGGCUGAAUCUUUUCAUGUCCUAGAAGAGGUUCACACCUUCACACUGGGCUGAAUCUUUCUCUUUUUUUUUUUGAGACGGAGUCUAAGCUCUGAUGCCUAGGCUGGAGUGCAGUGGCGUGAUCUCAGCUCACCUCUGCCUCCUGGGGUCAAGUGAUUCUCCUGCCUCAGCCUCCCAAGUAGCUGGGACUACAAGCGUGCACCACCAUGCCUGGCUAAUUUUUGUAUUUUUAGUAGAGACAGGGUUUCACUAUGUUGCCCAGGCUGGCCUCGAACUCCUGACCUCGUGAUCUGCCCGCCUCGGCCUCCCAAAGUGCUGGGGUUACCGGCAUGAGCCACCGCGCCCAGCCUGGGCUGAAUCUAAAAGGAUGACCAGGAAUUGGCCUGAGACGAGCCACUUCUCUGCAGUAUGGAGGUUGGGUUACGGUUGCUGCAUGUAGAAGAUAUUCCAGACAGAAGAGUCCGCAUGAAAAAAAGCAAGAAGCAGCAGUCACAGCUACUUGGAAGGCUGAGAUGUGAAGACUACUUGAGCUCAGAAGUUCCACUGCACUCCAGCCUGGGUUACAGAGGGAAACCUUGUCUCUAAAAAAAAGAAAAAAGAAAGAAAGAAAAAGAAAAC